rnacentral:lncRNA from 1 species
UAGCCUUUACUCAAGUGAGGAUUCCCUAAGAACUCCUCUAAGGCACCAAGUUGAAGAGCGGAAGCGAUUUAUGCAAAAAGAAGCUAUAAAGAACAAUAGAAAGAUCACACAUAAAAUGUUUGAGUAAAUGCUUUCAAUAUUCUCUUAUUCACAAAGAAUAAUGAAACAAUGAAUGGAUUGAGUACAAAUGAGGGAGAGACUCUCUAUUUAUAGUUGAGCUCUCCCAAAAUCGAUGGUC